GGCUUUUUGAGUAUAAUUUAAGGUCAGACCUGCCCAAUGAUAAAUUAAAUGGCCGCAGUAUUUUGACUGUGCAAAGGUAGCAUAAUCAUUAGUUUUUUAAUUGAAAGCUUGUAUGAAUGGUUUAAUGAAAAAAUUUCUGUCUCUAUAAAAAUUUUUUAGAAGUUUAUUUUUAAGUUAAAAAGCUUAAAUUAUUAUUGAAGACGAGAAGACCCUAUAGAGUUUUAGAGAUAAUAAAUUUAAUAUAUUUUAGUAUUUUAUAGUUAAGUAAGGAUUUCUUUAAUUGGGGUGAUUAAAAAAUUAAAUUAACUUUUUUUUUGUUUAAACAUAAAUAUAUGAAAAAUUGAUCCUUUUUUAAGAUUAAAAGAAUAAAUUACCUUAGGGAUAACAGCGUAAUUUUUUUUAGAGUUCUAAUCAAAAAAAAAGUUUGCGACCUCGAUGUUGGAUUAAAAUAAAUAAUUGGUGUAGAAGCUAAUUUAAUUAGGUCUGUUCGACCUUUAAAUUUUUACAUGAUCUGAGUUUAAACCGGUGUAAA
rnacentral:rRNA from 1 species